AACGAACGCUGGCGGCAUGCCUAACACAUGCAAGUCGAACGAGACCUUCGGGUCUAGUGGCGCACGGGUGCGUAACGCGUGGGAACCUGCCCUUAGGUUCGGAAUAACUCCCCGAAAGGGGUGAUAAUACCGGAUAAUGUCUUCGGACCAAAGAUUUAUCGCCUUUGGAUGGGCCCGCGUUGGAUUAGCUAGUUGGUAGGGUAAAAGCCUACCAAGGCGACGAUCCAUAGCUGGUCUGAGAGGAUGAUCAGCCACACUGGGACUGAGACACGGCCCAGACUCCUACGGGAGGCAGCAGUGGGGAAUAUUGGACAAUGGGCGAAAGCCUGAUCCAGCAAUGCCGCGUGAGUGAUGAAGGCCUUAGGGUUGUAAAGCUCUUUUACCCGGGAUGAUAAUGACAGUACCGGGAGAAUAAGCUCCGGCUAACUCCGCG
rnacentral:rRNA from 1 species